AUAUUGAUGUGAUAUCGACUGUGAUUUGAGGUUAUAAAGACGAUAAGUAGAAGUUUUGUCUUUUAAAUUAUAAGAAUUGUAAUAUUUCAAUAUAGAGCAAUACUUAAUUGUGCCGACGUUUUAGCUGAAGCCUAGUUGAAAGAAGAUAAUAAGAAGAUAAGAGCCCCCUUCAAAGACAUGCAUCAAGUCACACGGAUCAGUGAAAUACAGUAUGUGACAAGACCAGCUGAUCAAGUAGCUUUGGCCAUGUUUCUCAUUCAGCAUGGACAAUGUAUGAUGGAUUACCAGGCGAAAAGCAGAAGUUUAAGAUCGGAUGUGACUUUGAUAUCAAGUUUGACUGCUUAUUCUGUGCUAAAUAUGCUUAAUCGGACAAAAAUAAAUGGGGUGGGGGUGUAUGGGAUGUCAAAACUUUUGACUUUCAAGAAACUAUAAUAACAGAGACAUGACGAAUAUACCAGAUAUAUUCAAGUAUGAAUUGUGCCAAGUUCCAUCGUCUAUGUUUGACAAAAGCGGACUUCUAAGAGAGUCAAUCAAACGCAUUUAUCCGAAUAUUUGGAAUAUGGGUGACUGUAAAGCUAACACCUUACCACAAUCACCAACAUAUGCUUAAGAUGGUGGGUCAUUGCUGCAACGUGUUCCAUGGAAAAAAAACAGUACAUUUCAGCAGAUAUGCAAAAAAUACCUCCGGAGUAUUAGACAACAAUUUGGCAACAGAGCAAAAGUUGUGUUUGACUGGUAUUCCUCCUCACCAAGUCUCAAGGAUGUUACACAUAUGAGGAGAACGAAAGGAAAAAUAGGGACUAAGGCACUAUUUAACCUUGAUACAACGUUCAGGUCAGAUAAGGAAAUAUUCAUCAACAGCACAGAAAACAAACAUAACUUCCUAACCAUCCUGAGCAAAUACCUGAGAGACAACAACGUGGAUGCAAUACAAGCAGACGAUGACGCUGAUACGCUGAUAGUAAGCACUGCAGUUCAAGAAGCAACAUCGCAUAAUACGGUCGUUGUCGGUGAGGACACUGGCGUGCUUGUCUUAUUGUGUCACCAUGGAGACGAUUCAAGUCACAAUCUAAUGUAUAAAUCAGAUAUUAGGCGAGCAAAUCUGACAAAUAAAGUAUGGAAUAUCAAGAAAACGAAGAAUGUCCUUGGACCAUAGUUAUGCAACAUGUUUCCGUUUAUACAUGCAUGCACAGGUUGUGAUACGACUUCUAGG